GAUUAACGCUGGCGGCGUGCAUAACACAUGCAAGUCGAACGAUGAAACUUUAAUGAACCCUUCGGGGAGAACUAAAGCGGAUUAGUGGCGAACGGGUGAGUAACGCGUGAGUAACCUGCCUUACACAAGGGGAUAGCCUUUGGAAACGAAGAAUAAUACCCUAUAAAACCAUAAAAGCACAUGCAAUUAUGGUCAAAGUGAUAGCGGUGUAAGAUGGACUUGCGUCUGAUUAGCUAGUUGGUGAGAUAAAAGCCCACCAAGGCAACGAUCAGUAGCCGGCUUGAGAGAGUGUACGGCCACAUUGGGACUGAGACACGGCCCAGACUCCUACGGGAGGCAGCAGUGGGGAAUUUUGCACAAUGGGGGAAACCCUGAUGCAGCGACGCCGCGUGAUUGAGAAGGCCUUCGGGUUGUAAAAAUCUUUUGUAUAGGAAGAAAAUGACAGUACUAUACGAAUAAGGUCCGGCUAAUUACGUG
rnacentral:rRNA from 1 species